GGGGGUGUGGCUUAGUGGUAGAGCGUUCGCCUAGUAUGCAUGAGGCCCUGGGUUCGAUCCUCAGCACCACAU
rnacentral:tRNA from 1 species